AUGCUCUCGGCUAUUUGGGACUCAAGAGUCCCAAAGAAAGUAAUGAUUUUUGGCUGGUUGUUCUACCUUGACCGGUUGAACACUCGGCAGAACCUGCGCAAGAAAACUAUCCUGGACUCGGAUGUCUGUCCUCGGUGCAACAGCUCGGUGGAGGAUCGCGUUCAUCUCUUCUUCUCGUGCCCAGCUGCUCGCCGGAUCUGGCAACGGCUUGGGCUCCAGCCGCUCGCCGCGCCCAUCGAUGGUCUCUUCUCCACCACGCUCCCGUCAGCGCUGCCUGACACCGUUCGACCCUUUAUGUUGCUCCUCAUCUUGUGGAAGAUUUGGGAUGCUAGGAACAAAAAGGUCUUCCAGAACCUUGAACUCGAUGCAUCCCAAACUUUACGUGCUAUUCUAGAUGAUUUAAUUACCUGGUCUCAUCGUCUUAGGACUGAGACGUUAAAAGGAUACGCCGGUCUGUGGCGUGACUUCCUCUCCUCCUGCAACUUGUAA
rnacentral:rRNA from 1 species